rnacentral:rRNA from 2 species
UGACUGGGGCGGUCUCCUCCCAAAGCGUAACGGAGGAGCACGAAGGUUAGCUAAUCCUGGUCGGACAUCAGGAGGUUAGUGCAAUGGCAUAAGCUAGCUUGACUGCGAGCGUGACGGCGCGAGCAGGUGCGAAAGCAGGUCAUAGUGAUCCGGUGGUUCUGAAUGGAAGGGCCAUCGCUCAACGGAUAAAAGGUACUCCGGGGAUAACAGGCUGAUACCGCCCAAGAGUUCAUAUCGACGGCGGUGUUUGGCACCUCGAUGUCGGCUCAUCACAUCCUGGGGCUGAAGUAGGUCCCAAGGGUAUGGCUGUUCGCCAUUUAAAGUGGUACGCGAGCUGGGUUUAGAACGUCGUGAGACAGUUCGGUCCCUAUCUGCCGUGGGCGCUGGAGAAUUGAGGGGGGCUGCUCCUAGUACGAGAGGACCGGAGUGGACGCAUCACUGGUGUUCGGGUUGUCAUGCCAAUGGCACUGCCCGGUAGCUAAAUGCGGAAGAGAUAAGUGCUGAAAGCAUCUAAGCACGAAACUUGCCCCG